rnacentral:rRNA from 1 species
GAUGAACGCUGGCGGCGUGCCUAAUACAUGCAAGUCGAGCGAACAGACGAGGAGCUUGCUCCUCUGACGUUAGCGGCGGACGGGUGAGUAACACGUGGAUACCUACCUAUAAGACUGGGAUAACUUCGGGAAACCGGAGCUAAUACCGGAUAAUAUAUUGAACCGCAUGGUUCAAUAGUGAAAGACGGUUUUGCUGUCACUUAUAGAUGGAUCCGCGCCGCAUUAGCUAGUUGGUAAGGUAACGGCUUACCAAGGCGACGAUGCGUAGCCGACCUGAGAGGGUCAUCGGCCACCCUGUAACUGAGACACGGUCCAGACUCCUACGGGAGGCAGCAGUAGGGACUCUUCCGCAAUGGGCGAAAGCCUGACGGAGCAACGCCGCGUGAGUGAUGAAGGUCUUCGGAUCGUAAAACUCUGUUAUUAGGGAAGAACAAAUGUGUAAGUAACUAUGCACGUCUUGACGGUACCUAAUCAGAAAGCCACGGCUAACUACGUG